CUUACCCCAGCUGCCUGGCUGCCCCCAGCUUCCCAAAGCUCAAAUAAGAGGGGCCGGCGGCGGGGGAGGAGGAGGAGCCAGGAGCCUCGGCCGCUCCAUUCACACCGCAGCCUAAGCCCAGCCAGGCAGCGCGCGCGGCUCGGAGGGGGCGCCCUCGCCGCGGGGGUGGGGGCGGGCCCGAGGGAGCGUACCUCUGGGAGACACCCUCCUCUCCUACCCGCCACGCGCUCUCAGCUGGCCUGCGGGACCCAGCCCACCCCCCACCUCCCCUUCUCGGCCUUCGCAAGUGUGGGCGCCUCUGGGCCCUGGCGAGUCUCUCCAGGAACAGUGAGGCACCACAGGAGAACCUCAGGUGCUCUGGGUUCAAGCCUUCCGUUAUUUUCCACAACAGUGGGAAGAUGUCCACAUGUUUUGGAGCCAAGGGACAUAUAACUUUACAGUAGAGGGAGAAAAGUUAGAGGAUGGUGGAAAAUGGAAAAUUGGAGCAUAGAGCCAGGAUAAGCAGUCCGUGUUGUGUGGCUCAUAGCAACUGCUCCUGGAGUCAUCAGAAGUAAUAUUCUUAAUCAGAUCAGUCAAUGCUUUGGAGGAACGCCUGUGACUCUUCUGCUUCUGGAAAGCCAAAUGGCCUGUCUCCCACAGACCUGCAAGAGAUUUCCCCUCACAUGGAAGGGACCUGACAGCAAGGAUGACUUUGAAAAUAUUUAACCACCGUGUCGUAGAUACCAGACCAGUCAGAUGACACAGUCCACAGACAUCGGGAUAGUUUCUUCAAAGUUCUGACGAUGAACAGAUGGUCAAAACUCCAUCAGCCCGAGUCCCUGUGAAGAAAGGGUAGAAGAGAAGCUUCCCAUGCCUGGUUUAUAAAUACGGCCUUGAAAAUGUCCACAGACGUAUUGUUGUCUUGUUGAGUCUGCAGCCAGGAAGGCAGAAAUCACUGCAGCAAAGCAGGUGUGAACGUCCCCCUACUUCAGAGGCAGCUCUCUUUGAAGCUGGAAAAUCAAGGACGCUGGUACCUUCAAGGAAACAAGGAUAUAAUUAUCACAACCCCCAACUGGCCAGUGACCUUCCAUUCCUCAGGCCACCUUACUCCCUUCGCUGGCACCAGCCCAGGUCCUCACAGACUCAGCUCUGUGUCCCAGACCGCUCAGAUCCAGCAGCAACCCCCUCAUGCACCCUUUGAAAGCAUUUGUAAUCUCUUUCUCCUGCACUGGGCUUGCGGACAUAAAUCCGCCAGCCCCGGGGUGGGGGGGGUGGCCCUCUGAACCCCCCAUGGAGGGAGGCCCAUUCAGGCCAAGUGGAGUCUGAACAGCUUAGGAGUAGGAUUUAUGCCUCCCCUCACCUGUGCCGUCUGUCUGUGGCCCCCACCCUGGUCUGGUUUUGAAGGUUUGAACAUGACCCCCCAGCUUUUUGCCAAGCCUGCCAGCGUCACCUCAGUCACGGGGGUGGGGUGGGGGGUGGUGGGCAGCCGUCUCAAGGCCCUUGGAAGCUAAUAACAGGGACUCUCAGCUUCUUUGUUAUAUUUGAAAUGUUGAAAGCA